GAAAACAUAAUCUGCAUAUAUGUGUAGUAAAUGUGACAUUUGGCUCCUUUUGAGCUAAACUAGACCUUGGUCUGCACUAAAAAUCAAAGAUUUUGAUGGGGUCCAGUACCCUUACACUAGCCUAAAAAUAUAGCAGCUUUUAAGGCUCGAAUGAUCAGAAAGAAUGGACAACAGGCAAAGCAGUUGUAGGAAUGGAAUUCUCAAGGAAAAACAUAGUUCUAUCUAUAUGCUACAUUUCCCCUGAUUUCGAGACAUUGAACCACAACUUUACUUUCAUUCACGAGUGAGGCAAGAGGGAAGAGGCCUGUUUUGUAGGUGUUGGUAGAGCCCUGUGUGGUGUGGCUAACUGCAUGUCGACAAUACUAUCUACCUACGACUGCAAUCUGUUAGUUAAAUCAUUAUUUUAAUUGUAGUAGACCUAUAGUCAUUUGCAUCACACAGAUUUACUAAAUAAAACUGGUAAGUAGUAGCUGUCCAGAGAGUGAGCAUGAUUUGAAACAAAUAUUAUAGAAACUGUAGGGAGGACAUCUACGUUGUGAGAAUG